GAUGAAGAACGUAGUGAAAUGCGAUAAGUAAUGCGAAUUGCAGAAUCCGUGAGUCAUCGAAUCUUUGAACGCACAUUGCGCCCUUUGGUAUUCCGAAGGGCAUGCCUGUUCGAGCGUCAUUAUCACCACUCAAGCCCGGCUUGCUGUUGGUGGCAGCGCAGCCGGUCAACCGGCUACACUCCACCCAAAGAUAAUGACGGCGUCUGCGAGGACUCCUGUACAUUGAGCUUUCGGGCACGUACAUGGCUAGAAGUCCAGGCGCCGGUCGACGUCCUCCGGGACACUUUUUACCAAGGUUGACCUCGGAUCAGGUAGGGAUACCCGCUGAACUUAAGCAUAUCAAUAAGCGGAGGA
rnacentral:misc_RNA from 1 species